GUCGAGCGGGGGAAGGUAGCUUGCUACCGGACCUAGCGGCGGACGGGUGAGUAAUGCUUAGGAAUCUGCCUAUUAGUGGGGGACAACAUCUCGAAAGGGAUGCUAAUACCGCAUACGUCCUACGGGAGAAAGCAGGGGAUCUUCGGACCUUGCGCUAAUAGAUGAGCCUAAGUCGGAUUAGCUAGUUGGUGGGGUAAAGGCCUACCAAGGCGACGAUCUGUAGCGGGUCUGAGAGGAUGAUCCGCCACACUGGGACUGAGACACGGCCCAGACUCCUACGGGAGGCAGCAGUGG
rnacentral:rRNA from 1 species